rnacentral:rRNA from 1 species
UACGUAGGGUCCGAGCGUUGUCCGGAAUUAUUGGGCGUAAAGGGCUCGUAGGCGGUUCGUCACGUCGGGCGUGAAAACCCGGGGCUCAACCCCGGGCCUGCAGUCGAUACGGGCAGGCUAGAGUCCGGCAGGGGAGACUGGAAUUCCUGGUGUAGCGGUGAAAUGCGCAGAUAUCAGGAAGAACACCAAUGGCGAAAGCAGCUUUCUGGGACGGUACUGACGCUGAGACGCGAAAGCGUGGGGAGCGAACAGG